AUUGAACGCUGGCGGCAGGCUUAACACAUGCAAGUCGAACGAGUGGCGGACGGGUGAGUAAUGCUUGGGAAUCUAGCUUAUGGAGGGGGAUAACUACGGGAAACUGUAGCUCAUACCGCGUACCAUAGGAUGAGCCCAAGUGGGAUUAGGUAGUUGGUGAGGUAAAGGCUCACCACGCCGACGAUCUCUAGCUGGUCUGAGAGGAUGACCAGCCAGACUUGGAAUGAGGACAGGCCCAGAACUCGUCGGGAGGUAGGAGUGGGGAAUAGUGCGCAAUGGGGGCAACCCUGACGCAGCCAUGCCGCGUGAAUGAAGAAGGCCGUCGGGUUGUAAAGUACUUUCAGCGGGGAGGCGUUACCCGCAGAAGAAGCACCGGCUAACUCCGUGCCAGCAGCCGCGGUAAUAC
rnacentral:rRNA from 1 species